CUCCGAGCCAGCCGGUCUAGAAAGAUUAGACAAAAUAGGAAGCAACCCCUGCGCCUUUCAGAUUUCCCACGAUUGCUCUCUUCUCCCUUCCAUCGUCGCUUCCCCGUUGCCUCCACCUUCCUCCGCCCAUGCUUCGUCUUAUCCGGCACCUUACCCACCAUCGGCGACGUCCUCUUCUUCUUCGUGCUAGGGCACAGAACGCCCCUUUUGCCUCUUAUCGCUCCUUCUUGUAGUAAUCGUGUUUGCCCUAUUUUCUAGGAACUACCUCCUCCUCCUCUUCCUUCUCGUGUUCUCGUUUUCACAUUCAGCUCAUAUUUAAAAAAAUUCUGGCACCGCUAGAUCUUAUCUAAAUACUGCAGAGCAGAGGCGAGUUUGCACUCCCCAGCCUCCAUCGUGUUGUUCUACUAAUUUCCCUCACAUUAUGCAGUUAUUCGUUUCUAAUUCUUCGUCGGUCGCUCUGCUCGUUUUCCUGUGGACUCUGAAAUCUCCCAUUUGUCUUUGUUUUGGGUUGGGUUCAGAUUAGUGAGUCUCCAAAAUAAGGAAAAGCAGAAUAGGAAAAAUGGGAAGUGUCUUUGUGCAAGAGUUGGAGGGCAGGUCUUACAGAUGCAAGUUCUGCAAAACCCAUUUGGCCCAAGCCGAUGAUCUCAUCUCUUGGAUGUUAUUCCUUCUCUAUCGGUUCCUUUUAUUUAACUAUGAGUUUUCCCUCCAAGAAAAGGAAUUGACGAAUGAGUUUUCACUUCUAGAGUGAAUAUAAAGUCUCCUACUGUGGAGGUAACCUAUUUGAGAUUUUAUUUUUAAAAUAAGCUUGUUUUUAUUAAUAAAAAUAUGUAUAUCCUUUUCUUUCUUUCCCCCUUCUUUCUCUUUUUGGGUGGAUGUAAUGGCAAGUACAAAGCUUGAAAGUAAACACCAAAAUGACAGAGCACCAAGAACUCUUCUCUGUCCUUCCUUUUAAGGUAAGGUUGCUACUUUAAUUUUUGUUUUGUUUUUAUAUAUAGCAGGAAACAAAUAUGCUAUAUAUUUCAUGUAAAAUUGAAUCUUGAUGUGAUCUUGUAGUGCCAUUAUUUAUUAUUAUCAUGCUCCCACGCCCUACUUAACUAUGACUCAGACGGGAUCCUUGUGAGCAGGGUAAGGGAAGAAACCAAUAUUAGUUAUAUAUACUAAUAUAUGCGUAGAAAUAUUAUCCUUUGCAUUGGGUAAUAUGAAAAUUAGCAUUUUCUUUAAUGAACUCCCAUCGGCAGUUCUUUACAUUGGUGGUGUAGUAUUUGAAAUAAUUUCAACACUUCUAGAAUCUGAUUCUCCACUGUUUGGUCAGUUUGAUUAGUCUAUAGAUACAUUCAUACAUUAUCAGCAAGUUACUGCUGAUAAAAUUGUGUCUACGGAGCAUUUAGUUUGAGAAAUUGAUUGUUCUUGAUGCUCUUUUACAUUUGCUUAUUGAAUUUUUAUUUAUUAGCAAGUUACAAUGAAAGCUAAGAGAAUUGACAAUGCUUCAGAGGAAAUCAAUCAUGACAAGCAAGCAAAAAUGCUCCACCUGCACACGUACGUGAGUGCCAGACUACUUAGUUGACAAAACAACGUACAGGCUAGGGAAAUGAUCAGGCUUGCCAGGGAUGCAAUGGGAAAUAAAUUCAAGCUUGGUGUUGCUUCUUGGUGAUUUGCGCUCACUUUUUGUUAUUCUCAGGCUAUUUCUGUGGUUAAUUUGCGAAGCUCUUAAUGGGAAAAUUGAUCAGACCUAGUUAAUGCUGUCAAUGUUAGCUUGCUUAGUUUCAAUUGUUCAUUGUGCUUGUUGUUGCUAUAUUUGGAAAAAUUCUCUUUUCUGCUAUUCACACUGUUUUCUAUCAUUGAACAUCGAUUGCUUGAUUUGUGAACAUACAAGAGUUGGAUUGGAGAUAAUUUAAAUAUGUUGUUGUUUGAA